rnacentral:rRNA from 1 species
GACGAACGCUGGCGGCGUGCUUAACACAUGCAAGUCGAACGGAAAGGCCCUGCUUUUGCGGGGUUCUCGAUUGGCGAACGGGUGUGUAACACGUGAGUAUCCUGCCCUUGCCUUUGUGAUAACUCCACGGAACUGGGGCUAAUACCCCAUCUGAUCUCCUGCUGCAUGUUGUGGGUUGGUAAGUUUCGGCGGUUGGGGAUGGACUCGCGGCUUAUCAGCUUGUUGGUGGGGUAGUGGCUUACCAAGGCUUUGACGGGUAGCCGGCCUGAGAGGGUGACCGGGCACAAUGGGACUGAGAUACGGCCCAGACUCCUAGGGGAGGCAGCAGUGGGGAAUAUUGCACAAUGGGCGGAAGCCUGAUGCAGCAACGCCGAGUGCGGGAUGACGGCCUUCGGGUUGUAAACCGCUUUCGCCUGUGACGAAGCGAGAGUGACGGUAAUGGGUAAAGAAGCACCGGCUAACUACGUG